GGUUUGUGUUGAGGAGGAGGGAAUUCUUUACUUUGACACAAUAUGGGCGUGACAAAUCCAGUGUAUCUACAUUUAUCUUUCAAUGAAAAUGAAAAUGAAAGUACAAGGAACACUUCAUUCAUCGGUCUGAAGGAACUGGCUUAAGUGGAUUUUCAGUCCAAGAGAAAACAUCUGUUUAUUAAUCCAGUAAAGUGACAAGUUGGCAGAAGAAAGUAUGGCAAACUUUUGUGAUGACUUUGGCGCACCAUUUGAAUCUCAAUUAGAGCAUGACGUAAGGAGAGGGAGGAGGAGGUACAUCAUGUACCAUGGUACCACCCUAACAGCUGCAUAUCAUAUUAAAAAUCACGGAUUUCAGCGGUCCAGUGGUGGCAUGCUUGGACCUGGAGUCUAUGUCAGUCGAAGCUUUCAGAAGGCCAGAGUCUACCCAAAAAUUCUACCCUUCAACGAGCGGCGAGCUGUACUCAAGCUGAGGGUUAGAGUAGGAAAAGUAAAGAAGAUCGACCGGCAGGGACACCCCCUCCAAAAAACCUGGCAUGAGAAUGGAUAUGACACAGCCUGGGUGCCACCCAACUGCGGAAUGGUUCCUAGCGGCUUUGAGGAAGAUUGUGUUUGGGAUCCCAGCAGGAUCGAAGUUUUAUCUAUAAUCCCAUUAUAGUUCUUUAUAAUCUUCUCUUGUGGAACAUAAAUGUCAUUUUGGAAUUGUUAAUCUAAUUUCAUUACUCAUCUUUAUUUUCUGUCACCUCCUUUUUAACAGUUUAAGGAAUGCAUUUUUCUUUUAAAACUCAGUACAUACAUGUUUAUUUUGAUUAAAUAAAAUAAUCUUCUAUGGAGGUUGGCUUCUUUAGCAAGAUGCUGUUGAACUUCGAUUAAUCAGGAAAAAUCCAUACAAGUAUCACAGCAUCCAGUUUUAUUGUAUUAAAUGGAUGGAUGAAUGAAAAUGGAAUAUAUGGAUAAAUGCAGGAAAACAAUAAUAAAAAACAGAAUAAGAACAACUUGUUUUUGCAUACCCCAGUGAAACUCCAGAUGUAAACCUGAAGCAAUCUCUCCCCCACUGCCAUGUACAGCCAUGAUGUGGGUACAUUAGAUGGUAUAUUAUCUAAUGUAUCUGCAUCUCAGAUAAAGGAUAUUCAUUAUGGCACUUAUCAAAAUUAGUUUACUUGAAAAUGGCUUUAGUCUUUAGUGCUGCACCUUAUUGUUUUAUAUUGCUUAAUUUGUAUAUUCAGUUUCUGUUUCAAUAAAACUUCAGUCACUGUC